rnacentral:rRNA from 1 species
UUUAUAUCAAUUUAAGCGGAGGAAAAGAAACCAACAGGGAUUGCCCUAGUAACGGCGAGUGAAGCGGCAACAGCUCAAAUUUGAAAUCUGGCUCUUUCAGAGUCCGAGUUGUAAUUUGCAGAGGGCGCUUUGGCUUUGGCAGCGGUCCAAGUUCCUUGGAACAGGACGUCACAGAGGGUGAGAAUCCCGUACGUGGUCGCUAGCUAUUGCCGUGUAAAGCCCCUUCGACGAGUCGAGUUGUUUGGGAAUGCAGCUCUAAAUGGGAGGUAAAUUUCUUCUAAAGCUAAAUAUUGGCCAGAGACCGAUAGCGCACAAGUAGAGUGAUCGAAAGAUGAAAAGCACUUUGGAAAGAGAGUCAAACAGCACGUGAAAUUGUUGAAAGGGAAGCGCUUGCAGCCAGACUUGCUUGCAGUUGCUCAUCCGGGCUUUUGCCCGGUGCACUCUUCUGCAGGCAGGCCAGCAUCAGUUUGGGCGGUGGGAUAAAGGUCUCUGUCACGUACCUUCCUUCGGGUUGGCCUUAUAGGGGAGACGCCAUACCACCAGCCUGGACUGAGGUCCGCGCAUCUGCUAGGAUGCUGGCGUAAUGGCUGUAAGCGGCCCGUCUGA